rnacentral:tRNA from 1 species
UCCCUGUUGGCUCCCAGGUAAAGUGUCUGCCUGCAAUGCGGGAGACCCAGGUUCGAUUCCUGGGUCGGGAA